GACGAACGCUGGCGGCGUGCUUAACACAUGCAAGUCGAACGGUGAAAGCGGAGCUUGCUCCGCUGGAUCAGUGGCGAACGGGUGAGUAACACGUGGGCAACCUGCCCCUCACUUCGGGAUAACUCCGGGAAACCGGGGCUAAUACCGGAUAUGACCUCCUUGGGCAUCCUUGGAGGUGGAAAGUUUUUCGGUGAGGGAUGGGCCCGCGGCCUAUCAGCUUGUUGGUGAGGGAGUGGCUCACCAAGGCGACGACGGGUAGCCGGCCUGAGAGGGCGACCGGCCAUACUGGAACGGAGACACGGCACAGACUCCUACGGGAGGCAGCAGUGGGGAAUAUUGGGAAAUGGGCGAAAGCCUGACGCAGCAACGCCGCGUGCGGGAUGACGGCCUUCGGGUUGUAAACCGCUUUCAGCAGGGAAGAAGCCGCAAGGUGACGGUACCUGCAGAAGAAGCACCGGCUAACUACGUGCCAGCCGCCGCGGUAA
rnacentral:rRNA from 1 species